rnacentral:rRNA from 1 species
ACCUCCAAGAAUACGCGGAAGAGGUGGCCCGGGUCGGCGUCAGCGCCGUCCGGCACGGGCCACGGGCCCGCUUCCAAGCGCGUCUGCGCGUCGGCCACCCACGCCGUGUCCUUCAAGUGCCACUUCCACCGCACCAACUCCCAGGGUCACGGCCAUGGCCAGGGCCAGGGAAGCCGCCCUUCUUUGCCCCCUUCACCGGCCGCGGCCAACGCGGUGCCGCGGCACCCAGCCUCGCCGUCCUCGUCCUCCAGCACCGUCGCGACCCAGUGA